rnacentral:rRNA from 1 species
GGAAGUAAAAGUCGUAACAAGGUUUCCGUAGGUGAACCUGCGGAAGGAUCAUUACUGAUUUAGCGAACCGAGCGUUAGCGAGGUUUUGCGAUCACUUAUAUUUAAAACCCACUCUUGAACGUAUAAAAUUUUAUGUAUUAAUGAUAAAAAUAAAAGAUCACUUUCAACAACGGAUCUCUUGGCUCUCGCAUCGAUGAAGAACGUAGCGAAGUGCGAUAAGUAAUGUGAAUUGCAGUAUUCCGUGAAUCAUCGAAUCUUUGAACGCAUAUUGCACUUUCUGGUAUUCCGGAAAGUAUGCCUGUUUGAGGGUCAGUUAAAUAAAAAUCGGUGUUGUUGCCGCUUUUCGUGGUGACGCGUCGGAAUUGAGUUGUCUUACCUUCGGUUAAGUGACUUAAAAUUUUGUAUGAUUUUCGAACGUAUUUAAAUUUAUUUGAACGUUUGAUAUCGAAUGCUUAUUAGGUUCGGUCAUCCUCAUGACUCGCGCCUAUAAUUUUUCAUUAAAUGACCUCAAAUCAGGUAAGAAUACCCGCUGAACUUAAGCAUAUCAAUAAGCGGAGGA